rnacentral:ncRNA from 2 species
UUCUUAUCCAGAGUAGGCUGAGGGACUGGCCCAAUGACGCCCGGCAACCGGUAUAUUAUAUACACGGUGCCAAUUCCAGCAGGAUUCGUUUCCUGAAAGAUAAGGA